rnacentral:rRNA from 1 species
UACGUAGGGGGCAAGCGUUGUCCGGAUUUAUUGGGCGUAAAGAGCGUGCAGGCGGCUUUACAGGUCCGUUGUGAAAACUCGAGGCUCAACCUCGAGACGCCGGUGGAAACCGUAAGGCUAGAGUCCGGAAGAGGAGAGUGGAAUUCCUGGUGUAGCGGUGAAAUGCGCAGAUAUCAGGAAGAACACCCGUGGCGAAGGCGGCUCUCUGGGACGGUACUGACGCUGAGACGCGAAAGCGUGGGGAGCGAACAGG